UUUGGUUUGUCAGUGUUUUGGAUUUUAUCCAUUCCAAUAGGCACUAUAAAACCCACAAAAUUUUGGACACAUAGAGAGCCUUGUAAAUCAGAGUCUGUCUCCUGGAUUUCACAAAGGAAAUGGUUGAAAGCAAGAAAAGGAGAGAGACAGCUGCCCACAUGGCAGAGCUAGACUAUGUGCUAAGUGGUCACUGCCUACUGAGUAAAAAGUGUCCCUGUA